GCCAGGGUCCCCUCAGCCUCAGCCCUCUGCCACCAUAUUUUCUUGUUGAGUCACCCUUACACACCUCACUAGAUGCACCCACCAACUUGCAGUGGGGUCUCAACCCGACUCUGCCUCAACUCACCGCCUGCUGCUUGCUCUGGAAUUCGUGCUCUCGCUCUCUGCGGUAUUGCUCCACCUCCAUCUGUGCCUCCUCCUUUGCCUGCUUCAGUCGCCGGGCCUUCCCUGGAGGCAGAAGAAAGGACAGUGAGUGGGGAUGGACCCACACACACACAAUGUAAUAGCAGGAGUCAGUCCCUUCCAGAAAGUUAUACAGCCUUCUCUCAGCCAACCAGCACUUCUUGCUCAGGCAGUACCCAAA
rnacentral:lncRNA from 1 species